rnacentral:rRNA from 1 species
UGAGGGAUAUUGGUCAAUGGGGGGAAACCCUGAACCAGCAACGCCGCGUGAGGGAAGACGGUCUUCGGAUUGUAAACCUUUGUCCUCUGUGAAGAUAAUGACGGUAGCAGAGGAGGAAGCUCCGGCUAACUACGUGCC